rnacentral:misc_RNA from 1 species
GCAAACUUGGUCAUUUAGAGGAAGUAAAAGUCGUAACAAGGUCUCCGUUGGUGAACCAGCGGAGGGAUCAUUACCGAGUUUACAACUCCCACACCCAAAUGUGAACAUACCUUCAGUUGCUUCGGCGGACUCGCCCCAGCGUCCGGACAGCCUCUGCGCUGCCCGCGGCCUGGAGUCAGGCGGCCGCCGGAGGCCCCUAAACUCUCUGUAUUGUCAGUCUCUUCUGAAUCUGCCGCAAGGCACUACAAAUGAAUCAAAACUUUCAACAACGGAUCUCUUGGUUCUGGCAUCGAUGAAGAACGCAGC